rnacentral:tRNA from 1 species
UGAGCGGCUGCAGCAGGUUCAGCUGAUUGUGGCCUGCGAUGUGACGAAUCCGCUGUGCGGGCAGCGGGGCGCAUCCGUGGUGUUCGG